UUUUAUAUUUUUAUUUUUACUUUUUGAUUCCGUCAAGUUUUAAAUAACUUAUUAUUAUUAAUAAAUAUUUUUAUUUUAUUUUAUUUGAGUCGUUCGUUGAUUCAAACAUGGUUCAUUUUCGGUUCGAUUGGAUUUGGGUUGGUUAGACCCAAAUAUUAUUAAAAUUUCCUCCUUUCUUUGCAUGGGCCCCCAAGAGCCCAUGCAAAGUAAUUGGCAGGUCUCAUGGGAGACCUGCUCAUGUUAUAAGAGAAACAGCAACACGCAUAAAUUGCGUGUUGCAUCAGUUUCUUUUUCUUUGGAUAUUUAAAGCUAUUUAAACCGUAAUUCAUACAACAUACUCUUUAAACCCUAGCCGUCAUUAUACCCUGGAAUCUCCUGAAGAAAACGUAGUAAAUCCUCUUCAAAAAUCUGCCGUUCAGUAAGUUUCCUUAGGCUUGAAUAUUUCAGUUUUUCUUAAUAUCGACAUCUCCGUUCGUAAGUGAUAACUCUCUCGUUUUAGCUCCAAAUUUCGUUCCGUUUGAUUCCUGAGAUUGUAGACUCAGCCAUCUACAAGUCCGAGCUUAGUUUUCACACAACGCCGUUCGGAGGUCGAAAUCAAUUCCGUUCAUUCCCCGUGAAAGUAGACUCACGCCUCUACGAUUCAACACUUUCCUCUCGUCAAACGACCCGUCGACUGCUCGUGCUUCGGAGUCUACGCAGGGUUAGCUGUUUGCCAAGAUCACGUGGAUAAGCAAGCAGUUUAUGAUUUGAAAGCUGGUCCACUCCGAUUCUUGAUUCUUGGAGGUUUUUAUGUCAAUAAAACUAGUCUGUUGUUUUAAACUCUUAGACCGCAGUAGAACUAGUAUAGUGUUUGAUUAUUAUACUUUGGUUUGUCGUAGUGGUACGACUUUUAUAUUAUUAUACUUUGGCAUGUUACAUUGGAUUAUUAUAU